rnacentral:misc_RNA from 1 species
GUGAGUCAUCGAAUCUUUGAACGCACAUUGCGCCCGCCAGCACUCUGGUGGGCAUGCCUGUUCGAGCGUCAUUUCAACCAUCAAGCCUUACGGGCUUGUGUUGGGGCCCUGUGGAUGUCCGCAGGCCCUAAAAACCAGUGGCAGGCUCACGGUCACCCCGAGCGUAGUAGCAUUAGUCUCGCUCGGCAGGCGCCCUUGGGACUUGCCGUUAAACACGCGUAGUGCGCGCAAGGUUGACCUCGGAUCAGGUAGGAAGACCCGCUGAACUUAAGCAUAUCAAUAAGCGGAGGA